CAGUACUCAGGUCUCAGCAGCUGCGUACACUUUGCAGCCUUGCAUUGAUGGUGGAGGUGGUGGUGGUGAUGGUGGUGGUGGUGAUGCUGGAGGUGGUGGUGGUGAUGGUGGAGGUGGUGGUAGCUGUGGUGGCUGAACCCAAGGCUUUCCCACAUUGGGAAAGUAUUCUACUACUAAGCUACAUCCCCAGACCUCAAGUCAUCUUCAGAAGACAAACAAUCAAAGGCAUGUAAAU